UUGUCGGUUCAGUUCGCUGCUAGCGACUGACUUGUGUCCACUGAAUUAUUGUCAAUGCAUUUUACUUAUGACAUCCUGAUGUUCGAAUAACCUUUAUUUUUCCGAAGGUCAAGAGAAAAAUGAAGAAAUUUACUUAUUAGAAAGCUGUGCUAAGUUUUCAUUUAGGCUUACCGGAUGAUGCCAACCCGAAAUUCUACCGUCGAUCGCGUGACUGAUCGAGGAGGUCAGGGCAUGUGGAAAUAAAAUGGAAAUCGACGUAGAACGCUUAAGAUUCGUCCAGGAAAAUAUAACCGAUCGCCUAAAUCACAUUUCAAUAAAAGUCUGAUUACUGCAUAGUCUAAGCCCCAUUCGCCAGUGUUUGAAAUAAAUAACAAAACCUCGAUACACUUCAAUGGGGCAAAUAUUCACAAUAUAAUUUGACUCAGAUUAUUCAAUUUCAGGGUCAGAGGAAAAAUUAUCAAACGCGUGCGUUAUUCCUAACAUUCGAUAAAAUAAUCUCCAGUCCAAACCCAUCUUGCCGCCGCUCAGCUUCUAAACCUAGGCCAGCUAUCUUCAUUGAACGCACCAAUAACCACAAUGAGCGCCCUCGAAGAUCCAAAAGCAAAAAGCUGGACGUCAACCCUUCGAUUUUACUUGACCGCCGUGGCUGUCUUGGUGGCGUGCCUCAGUUCCUUCGCAUUCCUGUUCCUCGUGCCUUUUGUAAUCGAUCCUGCAUUUUCUACCUUGUUUGCCGAAUUUGCGGACGAACCCACAACCUGUGUCACAGAAAGUUCCGAGUACAAGGAAGGAAUGAGCAACUGCACGUGGUCGUCGUGCAGAGAAGGAUGCACUCGAGAAAUAUUCCAGUGCACACAAAUUUACGUGAAGUACACAGCGGCUGACGAGCAAGUUCCCCACACGAGCAUCCCUCUGUAUCCCAACGUGAAAGGUUGUGGAUACCCCCCAGAGGUCAACUGCACGGAAUUCAAUGAAAACUACAGCACACCCGGUACAAUUUUUCCUUGUUAUUACUCGAAGCUCAUGCCUGAUCUCGCACUCACGACUUUGGACUUGGAGAAAGUCAAGCUAGACUUGAUCUAUGCCAUAGCUAUUCCAUGGUCAUUGUUCUUGGUGUCCAUUCUGUACCUCCUUAUCACGUAUGCUGGCAUGAGUAAACCUGACCCAAAAGUGGACGAACAAGUUGAAGUGAAGGCCUCGAAAGGGACGUCUAAAGUGUCCGCGUCAAACUCUAUGAAAUCUCUCAGCAAGUCUUACCAGCACGGAGCGAGCAAAGCACGAGAAGAACCCGACGAUAAAGGGCAGAGACGCAUCACCCGACUGCCCGAAUGCGGCUGCAUCUCAAGCGAAGCCGUCCUCUCACCUACCCCCACUCACCACCAGAACUUCUACCGAUACUGACUCCACCAGGAGGAGUUCUAAGAACCCAAACGGCGACGACGAUGCACAUAGAAAUGACGACCUUCUCCUGGAGCCUUCGAGUCUACAGCAAGUUCAUUCUAGAAGGGUCUUGCCACCACUAGAGAGAGUGCCCACGUCAAAGACCUUGAGGAGUUCGGCAGGACUUCCUGAGGCUUCAUGAGAAGAAGCUGGUCAUUGGUAAACAGGUGCAUUGGGACAUCAUGAGAAAGAGCUGGUCAUUGGUUAGCAAAUAAUUAUAUGGUGUCGUGAGAAGAAGCUUGUGAUUGGUCAACAGAUGCAGUGAGAUAUUAUAAGAAGAAGCUGGUCAUUGGUCAGCAAGUACGUUUGGUGUCGAGAGAAGAUGUUGGUCAUUGGUCAACAGAUGCAGUGAGAUAUUUUGAGAAGAAGCUGGUCAUUGGUCAACAGAUGCAGUAAGACAUUAUGAGAAGAAGCUGGUCAUUGGUCAGCAAGUACGGUAGGGAUCAUGAGAAGAAGUUGGUCAUUGGCUUACAGGUGCGUCGUCUCGGUAGAAGUUUUGGAGACAAGAUCAUACACAAGGUACACUAUGACAUCACAGUCUCCCAAGUCACCACAAUCAGUGCUUGUCACCUUAUACAGAAUUUUCCACGUAGUAAUGCACGAUAGAUGUGAAAAUUUUGGGGUGAAUAAAAUGCAGUAAAAUAAUGCGAGGUUAUCAGCGGAAGUGGUGUGUAUCAGAUCGGAGAAAUUUCCUCUAAUAGUUUCGUAUCAGGAUUCAAUAUUUACAUUGAAAACAUCAACGCAAUGUCCUUCGAAUAUUGGUAAUGUUGCUAACUUUUCCUAUCUUCUUGUGUACUCAAACUCUGAUAUAUUCCAAGUGCGUCCUACAUUAACACGUGUUUUGUUCGCUAUAGGAUUCCAUCAGUGAAAUAUGGGCAGGAAAGUUUUCCAGUAAAGCCAAAUCAAUUGAAAAUCUUGAAAUGCGAGAAACAAGUUUCCAAUAACAAAUGUUCUCCCGUUCUUUGUAUCACAUUGACUGUAAUUAUCAUGGCCUGCUAUUACAUUUCAAAGCGAAAAUUUUCUGAACAGAAAAUAUCAUUUGAAGAAAUACCGACUUAUAGGCUCAAUCUAAAUUUUGCAUGUCAUCUAAUCUAUCAUGAAACAUAACAAGUCUAAUGUCAUUUGCAGCGAAAUUGCAUCAUAAACCGUACCAACAAAAACAUUUAGAAGCUCUCAAACUCGGACACACAUAUUCUCAGAAAAAAGUAUGUUCAUGAACAACUUUUAAAAUAAAGAUUAACAUUCAAUUCUCCAUUUUUUAUCGCACAAUCACGUAUUAACAUUCUUGCACAAUUUGCUUGUAUUUUUCACAUUUGUUGAUCUUGUAAUUACAUUUCUCUGCUAUCUUGUAAUGAAAUUCUAUUAUGGCUGCGCAAUCUUGUAAGAGUUUGAUAAUUUAAAAUGGGAUUAAGGUGCAACUUUUAAACGUUAAUAUGACGAAAUUAAUUGGCAAUGUUUAGAGGGAAACCUCUACCCCACUUUUUUUUAAAGCCAUCAGGCUUUUUUUCAGAAUAAGUAUAAUCAUCCUGCAUGACUUCUCGUAAUUUUUAUAUAUUAAAACUAAUUAGUGCAACGGAGUGACGCAAGGCUGUUCAAAUGGGGAUUGCAUAGAGUAAUUUAAUUGAAGGUUAAAUGGAAGAAACGUAGUUAGAAUAUGGGUAACAACUAAGAAAAUGUGUGAUUUUAAAUGGUAAUGGAUUGUUAAAAGUGUUCAAGUUUCAAAUACUAUUUGAAGUUGUCCAUCAAAUGGAAUUGUUUAAAAUAUCGAGUAAUACUAUAAAUUUAAGAUGGUAUCCUUGAUAUGUCUACUCCAAAAUAUUAACGUAUUACGGACUAGGCGUAACUUACUUCGAUGUCGUUUAAGACGUCGUUGUGGGUAAAUGUGAAAUAUUCGUUUUCUUCAGAUAAAAUACCUCUCGAAUGUCGGGCUAAAAUACCGAUAACUCAAAAGCGAAACACAUUUUUCGAAAAAAUGCAGCUCUCAACUGAUCAUAUAUUAAGACACAAGUGUAUUUAGUUUUGUAAAUUUCGCCAUUAUGCGCUAUUUUAUUAAGCAUGUUUUUCACGUAUAAGGAUCGUUUUAUAACAAUACUAAAAGAACCUGAACCAAGGAAAUGAGAAUUAUCAUCUCGUCCCAUUUAUAUUGCUGGAACCAACGAAAACCCGCCGGAUUUUAAAUACCAAACAAUUUACAAUCUAAUAAUAACAAUGAACAAGAUACUUUCCAAUUGUAUUAAUCCUUUAAAGCUUUGAAUUUAUGCCGGUCAUAUUUUCACAUUUAAAUUAUCGGUAUAUAGGUGGACAUUGAAUUAUUACGAUAAGUUUUCAUAUUUAGUAAUUAAAAGUAAUUUUUUCACUUUUUUCUUAACAAAGCAAUUAGCUAUGCAAUUGAAGUAAAUGUAUAUAAGAUUAUUCGAAAGAUUAAAUAUGAUUUUACUUAAUUUUAUUAAGCUCUUAUUAUUUGCAGAACGCGUUCCGAUAUACAUGACGGUACGCCUUCAGUGAACAUAUGUAAUUGUGGAACAAAUUUUCAUACUUCAAAUAAGCGUUAAACGUUACUAAGAAAUAUACAUUGGCGACCAAACGUUUACAGAGACUAGACCUUGAACAUUUAAUUAUUACACUUAGGUAAUCCACUCUUAUCGUCAGUCUUUGAAUAUGUCUCAUUAUAGAGCGCUUCAUACAGCCUUCGCACCCGCGUUGCUUGCUUCACUCAGACACGCACUUUUUGCCCAAGAUUCUCGCCUCUUCGAUUCAUCGCGCAAACUUUUAUUCCGCGUCCGUAAUUUCCUGCCUUAUAAUUUAAUAAAAUAUAAAUUGGCUUUCGGACUACCCACAACUUGCAGUUAUUUGUUAAUAUUAACAUUAUUGCAUAAUGUCCUUCACUAACUUGUCGUUUCAGUGUUAUAUGGCCACUUCUCAUGACCGGGAAAUUUGUUAACGGUUAACUAGAACCAAACAAGAGCGCAAAUCAAUAAUAAUAGUGUAUUUAAAAAAAGACGAUAUCUCAGUAAAUCCUUUCUAUUUCACCAAGUUUCAAAAAAUUUAAUCAUCUUUGAAUAACUUUCUUUUCUCAUUAAUUUGGCAACUAUGCUCUUUGACCCACUAAUAGUUAACUCAUGUCAGGUCGCCAUAUUCAGCAUGCAUUAUUAAUAGCAGAAGCGGGAGCGAAGCGAAAUUUUUUAGAGAUUGGCGGCUAUAUCAAUCAAAAUUUUUAUUCACUGAGCGCAAUAUAGUGCAUGAAUUUAUUGUGCCCAACGAAUGCCUUUCAUUUAGUUAAUUAGAUAAAUCCUCCCAAAACCUUUAAUACAUCAUUUAAUCCAUUUUACUUAUUCAUUUUCAUCUAACAUAUUUACGGUCAUCGUACACUUAGAUUUGAUAAAGUUUGAGGCCAUUUUAAUAAACCUAUUUCCCAUGACC
rnacentral:misc_RNA from 1 species